rnacentral:tRNA from 5 species
GGCCCCGUAGCUCAGUGGAUUAGAGCAUCUGGUUGCGGUCUAGAAGGUCAAAGGUUCGAAUCCUUUCGGGGUCG